rnacentral:rRNA from 1 species
UACGUAGGGGGCAAGCGUUGUCCGGAUUUAUUGGGCGUAAAGAGCGUGUAGGCGGCCAAGCAGGUCAGCUGUGAAAACUCGAGGCUCAACCUCGAGACGUCGGUUGAAACCGCUUGGCUAGAGUCCGGAAGAGGAGAGUGGAAUUCCCGGUGUAGCGGUGAAAUGCGUAGAUAUCGUCUGGAACGCCGAAGGUGAAAACAGACUGCUGGGGAUGCGCUGACGCUGAGACACGAAAGCCAGGGGAGCGAACGGG